GUCCUGCAGACCAUCUUUGAAAAGAUAGUGGAGCUGACGUCAAAGCCUAUUGUGACGACUUUGUCAGUCAAUCCCAAACUCAAGUCGAAAGCGGACAUCCAUCUGAUCGUCCAGUCCCCCAGCACUGAGGCCGCCUUCAGAUCAAAGAUGGAGUUUGUCGUCAAACUCUGCAGGGAAUAUGACAUA